GGGGGCUAAGGACAUGGUGUCCUCGCGGGCUGCAAACCCGUUGGCCGGUUCGUAAAUUAGCCGGGGUCGGUUCGAUUCCGACUAGCCCUC
rnacentral:tRNA from 1 species